rnacentral:sRNA from 1 species
UUUAUUAUACUAUAAUUUAGAUGCGGGAAGCGCAAUAGAUGGUUGGCUAAAUCUCAGUAAAAAGGGGUGUAUACCUAUGUUAAAUGAUAGUUUUACUCCUAGAAAGGAUUAAACAUGUCUGUUUUUGAAGCCCUGAUGUUCGCUUUAAAAAUUUACGAUCAUAAAAACAA